UUUUUUUUUUUUUUUUCUCUUUUUUCUUUGGCCACACCCAUGGCAGGUGGAAGUUCCCCGGCCAGGAAUUGACCCUGAGCCACAGCAGUGACUCGAGCCACAGCAAUGACAACGCCAGGCCCCCAGCCUGCUGAAACACCAGGGCACUCUCUUGCGUUGUUUUUUCAAUUGGAGUCGCUUACCUGACCCUGCUCAGCCUUAGCAUCAGUAGGGAAGAAGCUAGAUGGAAAGACAUCACCUGCGCCAUGAAGUUGAGAAAGACCAGCGGCCUGUGAUGGACUUGAAUCCAUAUUCCCAGGCUCACUGCCCCAUCUGCAGUUACACAGGACCCAGAAAUACCAUGCCACAAAGCAUGAGACAACAAAUCACCACAUCACCAUUCUUCGAAAAAUAGACAUAAAAUGUCACCCACGCAUCAUCAGGGUCCCCACCCCAGGAAGUCUGGGUGGACUUCACCCAUCCCAGCACUAUGGCCCAUGGCUGGCUGGAGCCCUCACUUGAUGUCCGUGCAUCUCUGUCCUCUGGGCCCCUCUGGCCUCACAGGCUGGCCCUGACCGACCCUGAGCCUCAGAACCUGCCUCGCCAGCAGUUUCCCACAAAACGCCUUCCACAUCAAGUGGUCUGUGCUUUUUUGUUUGCCGUGGGCUAGAGAUGUUGCAUGUCAGAGAAACAGUCGCCCACACGGCACACAAAGAGACCAUCCCCUGAGUGUCCGCACUGCUUCCCCUGCCCCCUCCCCUUCCCCCUGGUGUGGCCAAGCGCUCCCCUCCUGAUUCUGGCCCCAGAGUCAGGUCUGUCCUUGGUCCCUUUAAGGUAUUAGCUUCUCCCCGUAGUUAAUGCAUGAAGAAAAUCCCUCCCUCUCUGUCUCUCUCUCCCCCUCUCAUUCUCCAUUAUGGACUUUUGGUGAUUCUGAGUUUCUGUCUCAUUUCAUUCAAUACACAGUAGAGCUUAACAGGACUCUUCUUUAGAAAUUGCCUUAAAUAAUUGCCUUAAAUAGGAUUGUUGGGAAACACUGACUAUUUUCAAGUUUCGAUGGGGUCAGGGUCAGGGCUGUCUGAGCAGCGUGGUGGCACCUGGAGUGGAAGCCGCUUGGAUAGCCAUGAGCACAGCAGUGCGGGUUGCAAGUUGAAGAUCACGGCCCCUGGUGAGAUGGUCAGCUCUCUUGCCCCUGGAGACAGGUAUUGACGUUCCAAAGGGUAAUGAACCUGAGGACUUUCCUGUUCCCUCUCUUUCUCUCUGGGUUGGGGGUGGGGGGGACAGGGAGCAGAUGGACCCUCAGCUCCUAUAUUAGCUUCAAGAUUCAGUCUUGGAGUCCUUCCCCUGGGGUGCAAGCCCCUAGACAUGCAGAGCCAUCUGGGCCUCACAGAGGUUCCCCGAGGGAAGACGGCCCAUGAGCGACCAGCACGAGGAUGGCUGGGUCAGUAAGUCAACCUUGGAUCCAGAAACCAUGUGUUUCCUCUCAGGACAAGUAAAACAUCUGGAUAUAAAAACACACAAUGUGGCACAAGGAUAUCCACUUCUUUGCAAUUUGAUAGAAAACGGAUCUCCAAAUUUUGAACUGCAUUGUUUCUUUGGAAACUGUUGACUGAAAGACUAUGCACAACCUAAAAGUUGAGAGUUAAGUUUUAUUUGGAGCAAAAUGAGGACUUAAGCCCUAGGCGGCAGCAUCUCAAGUAACCCUGAGAAAAGCGCUCCAAGGAAGCGAGGCGGGAGCUGGGAUAUACAGGACAAAGAGCAGGUAGGAACAAAAGACCACUGUUAAUAACAGGAAACCCAGGAGUUCCCAUCGUGCCGCAGUGGAAACAAAUCCAAUUAGGAACCAUGAGGUUUCGGGUUUGAUCCCUGGUCUCACUCAGUGGGUUAAGGAUCUGGUGUUGCCAUGAGCUGGAAUGUAGGCUGCAGACGCAGCUCAGAUCCUGUGUUGCUGUGGCUGUGGUAUAGGCUGGCAACUGUAGCUCCAAUUUGACCCCUACCUGGGGAAGAGAGGUUCGUGAAGAAAAAUCAGGGAAGAAACCAUCAAAAUCUCUGACAAUGUAUUUUCUGGUGAGGCGUCGGGUAUUUCAUUAAAUCUAAGAUACUAACAAUUAUAAGAGGAAUCAUCAUUUUAGGGACCACUAAGAAAAACAGAAACAAGCUGCCAAUUAAACUAUGACAAAAUGCCUUCUGGGACCUCAGAAUUUCCAUUUAGGCUUAUUUAGAUUUAGAUGUUUAUGCUAUAGGGGACACGUUGUGGUGCAUAUUUACAGUCUAACACAUGUGGAUGUCUUUCCAGUUUAGUCUCAUCGAUGUUCGUGCUGCUGACACAGCAAUUUUUUCUUUUUCUUUUAAAAAAUGCUUGGAUGGUCCUUUCCAUUCAGCAGUUUAAUACUGGAACUUUCUGGAUUUCUCUAGAAGGUGUCAAUGACAGGCUGGCAAGCAACAACCGGGAAUUGAGUUUCUUUUGGUGUUACCUGGACUUUUAGGUUAACUAAAGCAGCCCAUUUGUGGCCUCUCAAACAUACAUUGUACACCUGCUUUAAUCAUUAAAGAAAAUGGUGCAUUGACCAGAAGUGAAGAAUGUCCACCUUAAAAAUAAAGAUGAAAUCCCACCCUUCCUGGGACAGCAAGGCUGGUGCUUCUUCGAUGAUAAGAGUCCUUUCCUGGGUGUCAAAGCCAUACUGAUUGGCUACUAGCUGUCUUUACAACAAACACAUAAAAACCCCCAAAACACAAAGGAAUGUAUCCAUAAUUUCUUUAAUGUUCCUCCACUAACGAGGUAUAAAACCAGCGAAAACCAUGCUUCUCCAGAGCAGUUCCUUAGAGUUCUUGGAGAGGUUUCCCCGGGGAGAGUCAGUCCUCAGUCUGGCUCAGAUAAAACUCUUUUCUAUUCCUAUUAUAGGUGGUUCAUUAGUUAUUUCUGUCGACAAUGCCCUGAAAUCGCCAAAUGCAGGGCCGCAAGGACCCACCACUAGAGCAGGAUGGCAGCCAGUCGGUGCACCGAGCACAGCAACCGCACUGGGUCCUCGCGGGGAGCCAGCUCCACGCAGGCUCCUAGCCACCCCGAGGCAGAAGUGGGGACGGCCAGGAACGGGAGCCGGCACCCACCCGGGGACAAGAGACUUCUGGUCGGGGGAGGCCGGGCAGCACUUGGAGGGGAAAACCCUACCUGUGAUUGUUCCAGGCCCCCUCCCUAACCCUCUCAGUGACCCGCGCUGAGCAGGUACGCAGGGGCUGGUGAAUUCAUUCCUUUCACACAGAGGGCCCAAGCAGUGAUUGAAUCGCUGGAAAUUCAGCAGUGAACCCAGCAUGAGCGUCCCCCAGAAAGUGGACUAACUUCUCACAGGGGCCACAGACGGGGGAGCAGAUCCUGAGUCAGUGGGCGGUGAAUAUCUGGAAGUUUCUAGAAGCAGGUGGGGGCGGGAGGGAUUGGGGAAAGAUGAGGGUGGCUGCUGCUGAAAUGAAUUGGCAGGAUAAUGCGCCCCAAUUGCUGGGAGUCCAUCCUCCAUGCUCAUUAAAAUCCACACCUUCCUAUUUUAUCUGAGACUGAGGAUUUCAAAACACACACACACACACACGCACAUGAACACACACGGGAUCUCUGGAAGCCACCACCUCAAAGCCCUGCCAGGAGCAAACACUCCCUGGUGAGCAUUCAAAGGCAGGUGAUCAAGACAUACAAGAGAUGCAGGAGUUACAGGGAAGGCGAAGUUCUGAUGAGUUAGAACCAGUGUCCCCUGAGACGUGGACUUGCUCCAAGGAGCAGGACAGAAUGACCUCCAGAGUGUUUUUUAAUACACAAUGUUUAUUCUCACUGCAAUGGCAGAGACAAGGCAGUCCUGGAAAGAGAACAGCAUCCAGAGGUCAGCGAAAAUUGCCCGCAGUGGAAAAGCUAUUACCAAAUUUUAAAACACAAUAAAAGAGUUUAAUAAGGUGUCCGGUUUACAAAAUAAAUCCAUAAAAAUCGAUGGCUUUCGUUUUACACCAAUAAUAACCUGGCAGAAAGUGUAAUGGGAGGAAAAUUCCACAUGCAGUCAUGACAAUAAAUAUGAAAUACCCAGGAAUAAUUGCCCUGAGGUGUGCUGAAGUCCACGGUGAGCGCUUUAAAAUUUACUUGCCAAGAAGACACACAUAUCAUGUUCUUCAGAGGGAGCAGAGGAUAUGUAGUUUGAAUUUUCCGUGCUGUGAUUCUCAUUACCCUGGGAUUAAUUUGCUCUGGCAUCUGCAUUCUCCACGAUGCUGUGAACUCCAAGAUGCUGUGUCACCUCCUGCUGUGUUUUAGUACAUGUCCAGGUUCCUGGAUCAUAGCAGGUGCUCAGUAAAUACUGGCUGGCUUAGUGAGUCGAGAUGGAGAGGACCACACAUCCAGGCUGUUUUAAAGGAACCACCAGAGGAUCCAAGAUUGAGCCCUAAAGCCCGAAAGAAUGGCUCCAAACCACAAUGGUUUUAGACAAUUAGAAAUUUAUUUCUUUCACUGUAGUAUUCCCGGAACCUCGGCAAAGAGGGUAGCGAUCAGCCUCUUAGGCAUUAUCCCAGCCUGGGGUGAAAGGGACAAAGGACCCACCCCACAAAAGCAGCCGUUCUCGCGGCCCCAUGAAGCAGUAAGAGCUAGAAGUCCCCCUCAGACUCCUCUGUACUGGGGGCCAAUGAGGCUCCUUGGAAUGUUCCAGAGACUUCCUUGGGGAACAGGAAGUGCCUUCAAGGCUUUCGAAUGGCAGUGGAAGGAAACUAUUGUUAUUGGAAACAAAAUCUAACCUGGUAACUGCAGCCCUGUCUUCUUAGAAGCUGAGGACCAAAACACAAUCCAAACAGCAGUGGAACAAAAUCUCUAGGCCCUCUCCUUCUUGAAGACCUUGAUGAGGAAGAGAGAAGGAGCAACUCUUCAGGCGGACGCCCCACUGCGUAGGGAGGAUCCUGAUGAAUUUCUGGUCUGCGGAGAGGUUCAGCGUCUAGUCUGGGAGUGAAAAACUGGAAAGCACAACUGUUCUAUGUAUUAAAAGGGAGGAAGAUUUGAGGGUUUACUGCAAACAGGGGGCGCACUGGAGCAGAGGAGAAAGGAGAGAGCAAACUGGUGGAAGAACCAGGAGCCCAGGCUGGUGACAAUGGUCAGAGACUUUAGGAACCAGAAGUCCCAUGGCUCACCUAAGCCAGGCACAGAAACAGAUCGUUCUCAACAUCCAGGAAAGUUGCUGAGCUCCAUGCCUGGAUCUGCAAAAAGGAUAGGAUGCUGCCGAGGGAGGGAAGAGCCAGAGGAGGUCUGAGUUCUGCCAAAGGUCAAACACGAGGUGCAGAAUCCACAGGGAGACUCAGGGCAAGGGUUUGAGAAGACAGCCCUCAAAGGAUUCCUCGGUGUGACUUGCAGGGAAGUUCCAAGAAAGCUCCCCUGAUCCAAAGCCACCCCAACGGCAGGUCUGAUGCCCAUGCAGAAGGUGAUAAACACUCUUGCCCAUCCUGCCCAGAGCAGACCACUCACAGAGCUCAAGCCUGGAAGGACUUUUGCAAGAGCCCAAUUCCUUUCCAACCUCAAGCUUGUCCAUAAAUGACCAUGAGAUCAGGGGAGUGGAAAUAUAGCAAGUGAGGACUGAUGAAAAGAACUGGGGGUGUUUGGACUAAAACAAGAAGGCCUGGGAGGACGAGAGAACCAUCUCCAAACCAGGAUGGGAAUGGGCUUAUCAUCUAUUAUGAUUCUGGAGGGCGAAACUGAAGUCAGAAGAUAGAAGCAGCAGGAAAAAAUAACUUGGCUCAAGGCAAGGGGGGCGUUCUUGCCGCUUGAGAAAGUGAAAGUGACUUCCUAUGAACAGUGAGAGAAGGGGCAGAGGAGGUGAGAGCCUGACCUCCGGUGCUUGGUGCGGAGUGGUGGGGCACAGUGUCCAAGCUGAAAUGGGGUGAGAUUCUUGGAUGGGAUGCCCUGAUUCUAACCUCCCGCUAAGAUCCCAGCAAUAACACCACCUGCAGAGCCCACCAUGGGAAACGGAGCUGCUCACAGGGCAGGAGGUGGCUCCCUGAAGCUGUGGUGACCCAACACUUUGGGGAUUAUUUCCAGAGUAAGCAUGAGUGUCUGUGAGUGCACGUGGGGACAGCAGGACAGACCCUCAGCAAGGUCUUGCAAUGACCUUCUCAAGUGGGCCUUCCCUGAGCAGAGGGGUUUCCAGAACAUCUCCUUGCCUGAGUCACUGACUUAAAGGCAGAGAAUUGGGGAA
rnacentral:lncRNA from 1 species